rnacentral:rRNA from 1 species
GACGGAGGAUGCAAGUGUUAUCCGGAAUCACUGGGCGUAAAGCGUCUGUAGGUGGUCAAAUAAGUCAACUGUUAAAUCUUGAGGCUCAACCUCAAAAUCGCAGUCGAAACUAUUAGACUAGAGUAUAGUAGGGGUAAAGGGAAUUUCCAGUGGAGCGGUGAAAUGCGCAGAUAUCAGGAGGAACACCGGUGGCGAAGGCGGGUCUCUGGGCAACAACUGACGCUGAGGAGCGAAAGCGUGGGGAGCGAACAGG